rnacentral:ribozyme from 1 species
UGACGCCAGGUGAUCUCCAGGCCACGCCUGUGAAGGAUCCUCUUGAGUCGUUCAAUUCAUGGGUUCGAACCCAGACCCCGACGUCCCAUCGCAACUCUCCGACUCCAACAGGAGGACUGUACGUUGGCCCUGGUGGCGCCGUUGGCCCAAACUCUCCACAAAAUGCUCAACGAGGAGGAGCAGGUGUCUCUGCUAGCAGUGCUGCUCCAAGCGCGCUUCAAGCGAAUCCACUGUACACAAAUGGCACCCCUCAGAAGUUCACCAUUGGGUCCG